GAGUUGCUUCGAUGUUUUCUUUCCUCACAGGCACACAUGCUUUUAUAAAAUUUCUUCCAGAUUAGAGUGAAGUGUUAUGGAGCUUAGUACCUGCACUUGAGUCUUAAGUAAUCGAAAGACAAAAUAGUUAAGGCAAGCACUAUUCCUCCUGUCUAUACUUCACCUUUGUUCCAGAGUUUUGUAUAAGUUUUCAAAAAUAAAACUCAGAGUUCCCAGCGAUAAUUUUCUCAAGUCUCUCUAUAAGUGGUAUUUAUGGAUCCUUACCAAAAUGUCACUUACCUGUAGCUAAUGGAAUAUUUAAGUGGAGCUCAUAGGAGUGAAAAACAGCUCAUACAUAUGUUGUCUAAUCGAGCCAUGGAUCAUAAAGGAACUCAGCAUAUAAUUAAAUCAAAAUGUGCAUGUGUGGUGGAGUAAAUGAUAGUGAUGGUAAAAAUAUAAGCAAUGAUAAAGCUUACUUCUCAUGGCUCCUCAUAUUGCUACCUCUCCUCUUCUUUGAUCUUUGCUUUGGGAGAACAUGGGCUAUCUUUUUCUUUUCUUUUCUUAGGUGGGUAGUAGAAACCCCUAAUUCUACUGUCGGACACUUGUCCAUUUUUUCCGCUCAAGUGGGCAUCUUUGUACCCCUCAUUCUACUCCAGACACUUGUCCAUUUUUGCCUCUAGUCUCACUCUUUUUCUUUCUUUUUCGAGGUUCCGGGCACUUGCCCCUUUUUAUUUCCUCACAUAUAAUUUUUUUUUGCAUAACCCAUGCCUCUUCUGCAUUGAAUUUUUUUAGAAAGAGAGAAUAACAAUAUUUGGGAGAGUGAGUGAUAAUAUUAUUUUUAGCAAUUUUAAUAUAUGGUGGUGAAUUGUGUAGUGGAUGUGUGCAAGUGAAUAUCUUAAUUUAACCACAUGAAAAGCUCCUAAGGGUCUACACAGCUCGAUCAAACUCAAUGUGAAUAUAGUAAAAGAUGUUAUAACAAGUAUGGCUGUGGUAGGAAUUUUGUUAUGCUAGGAACUCAUCAUGUGAUUUGUAAGUUUACAAAAUAAAUCUCCAGAACUUAGUGUAGUAGGAACAAGAUAAACAGCAGCUCAAACUUUAUAUCAUGACUUUCUCGUACCUAGACUUUAGUUUCAGGCUCAUGCUCCCAUAGAUAUUAAAUUUCGGGUUUAGUAAUUCUUGGAAGAACUCUAAUAUAAAAGCUAGGUACUUGAAAGUAAACAAACAAAGCAACCAUUCAUCAUUUCCAUCAUACAUCUUUUUGGUAUUUUUAUUUUUCUAGAGAUUAACACUUAGCAGAAUAAAUAAAGCACACUUAUCUACACACUCUUUUUAUUUUGUUUUCACGUUUUUUUAAAAUGCAGUAAAAUAAAGCAAGAAAAUAUUUAUUGGGUUUUUCUAAGUUUUUUUCUUAAGAUAAAAUACUAAAAUAGAAAAUAAUAAAUAAGAAGAGCAAAUAAAAACUUACUUGAUAAAUUGGGGAGGAAGUCCCCCAAGCUGGAUGUUG
rnacentral:lncRNA from 1 species